rnacentral:rRNA from 1 species
UGAAUACGAGACGCUAAGGCGUCGAAGUAGUGUAUGUCAUACUUCCAAGAAAAGCUUGCACUGCCAUAAGUAAAAAAUGCCUGUACCAUAACCGACACAGGUGGGUAGGUAGAGUAUACUAAGGGGCGCGAGAUAACUCUCUCUAAGGAACUCGGCAAAAUAACUCCGUAACUUCGGGAGAAGGAGUACCUUAUUCUAUAAGGUUGCAAUAACAAGAUCCAAGCAACUGUUUAUCAAAAACACAGGUCUCCGCUAAGUCGUAAGACGAUGUAUGGGGGCUGACGCCUGCCCAGUGCCAGAAGGUUAAAGAAGUCGGUUAGCAUUAGCGAAGCUGGUAACUGAAGCCCUGGUGAACGGCGGCCGUAACCAUAACGGUCCUAAGGUAGCGAAAUUCCUUGUCGGGUAAGUUCCGACCCGCACGAAAGGCGUAAUGAUUUGGAUACUGUCUCGGAGAGGGGCUCGGUGAAAUAGACUUGUCUGUGAAGAUGCGGACUACCUGCACCAGGACAGAAAGACCCUAUGAAGCUUUACUGUAACUUGAAAUUGAAAUUGGACUUUAUUCGCGCAGUAUAGGUGGGAGGUGUUGAUUAUAAUCUUGCGGGAUUAUUGGAGCCAUCAGUGAGAUACCACUCUUGUAAUGUUAGAUUUCUAACUUUGAAUCAUUAUCUGGUCAAAGGACAGUUUCAGGCGGGCAGUUUGACUGGGGCGGUCGCCUCCCAAACGGUAACGGAGGCGUACAAAGGUUUCCUCUGAACGGGUAGAAAUCGUAUCUAGAGUGUAAGGGCAUAAGGAAGCUUGACUGUGAGACCUACAAGUCGAACAGGGACGAAAGUCGGUCUUAGUGAUCUGACGGUACUGAGUGGAAAGGCCGUCACUCAACGGAUAAAAGUUACUCUAGGAUAACAGGCUGAUCUCCCCCAAGAGUUCACAUCGACGGGGAGGUUUGGCACCUCGAUGUCGGCUCAUCGCAUCCUGGGGCGGUAGUACGUCCCAAGGGUUGGGCUGUUCGCCCAUGAAAGCGGUACGCGAGCUGGGUUCAGAACGUCGUGAGACAGUUCGGUCCAUAUCCGGUGUAGGCGUUAGAAUAUUGAGAGGAGCCUUCUUUAGUACGAGAGGACCGAGAAGGACAUACCUCUGGUGUACCAGUUAUCGUGCCAACGGUAAACGCUGGGUAGCUAUGUAUGGAGUGGAUAACCGCUGAAAGCAUCUAAGUGGGAAGCCCACCUCAAGAUAAGUAUUCUCC